GCUUCCCUGCUCAGACGGUAAAGAAUCUGCCUGCAAUGCAGGAGACUCAGGAUCAAUCCCUGGGGGAAGUU
rfam:Ovis aries breed Texel chromosome 18, whole genome shotgun sequence.